CUUCCUCUUCACCUCACAAGCUGUAGACUACUAUGAGGUUUCCCCUCAGUCUUCUCUCCUCCAGGCUGAACAGACCAAGUGACCUCAGCCACUUCUCACACAGCUUCCCCUCCAGACCCUUCACCA